UGGAGCAGGCUCUGGCGAUGGAAGGACUCACAGAAAGAAAUGAUGUUCCCGUCAGACACAACCCAUAACUCGCUCUCUCCGAUUCCCAGAUGUUAACCUUGUGAUCGUUUACAGCCAAUUAAAAUAAAAAUUGUUGUUGUUCCUUAGUAAUACAGUGAAGUCUCUGUUCUCACCACACAAGGAUAGAAGUAUCUGCCUCCAAACUGCUGUCAGAAAGGGGUUGAAUUGUGAGCUGGUCUCUAUAUUGAGAAACUGAGCUGAUUGGAGAAAGUGA